rnacentral:rRNA from 1 species
AAUAGAUACCCUGGUAGUCCAUGCCGUAAACGUUGGGCGCUAGAUGUGGGGACCAUUCCACGGUUUCCGUGUCGCAGCUAACGCAUUAAGCGCCCCGCCUGGGGAGUACGGCCGCAAGGCUAAAACUCAAAGGAAUUGACGGGGGCCCGCACAAGCGGCGGAGCAUGCGGAUUAAUUCGAUGCAACGCGAAGAACCUUACCAAGGCUUGACAUAUACGAGAACGCUCUAGAAAUAGAGAACUCUUUGGACACUCGUAUACAGGUGGUGCAUGGUUGUCGUCAGCUCGUGUCGUGAGAUGUUGGGUUAAGUCCCGCAACGAGCGCAACCCUCGUUCUAUGUUGCCAGCGGUUCGGCCGGGAACUCAUAGGAGACUGCCGGGGUCAACUCGGAGGAAGGUGGGGAUGACGUCAAAUCAUCAUGCCCCUUAUGUCUUGGGCUUCACGCAUGCUACAAUGGCCGGUACAAAGGGCUGCAAUACCGUAAGGUGGAGCGAAUCCCAAAAAGCCGGUCUCAGUUCGGAUUGAGGU